AUGCUUGCUUCAGCAGCACAUAUAUUAAAAUUGAAACAAAACAGAGAAGAUUAGCAUGGUCCCUGUACAAGGAUGAUACACAAAUUCAUGAAGCAUUCCAUAAAUAU
rnacentral:snRNA from 1 species